rnacentral:misc_RNA from 1 species
AUCAAUCUGUUCGUGAUGCCUGUGAAUCACAGGCUGUUAUGAAAGCUUGUGUGGCAUCUAGCUCAGAUCCAGCUAAACAGGAAAAAUUUUUGGCAUACAUGGCCCCUAAUCCUAAUGAGCUAUCGAAGGAUGUCUAUGAUGAAAAUGAGGAUAUCUCAUAUAACUGGGUUCGUGAGUACAACUGGGAUGUGCGAGGUGAUGAUGCUAAUGACCCAACAACAUUCCUUGUUUCAUUUGAUGAACAUGCGGCUCGCUAUGUGCCUCUUCCCACAAAGAUUAAUUUAAGAAAGAAGCGAGCCAGCGAGGGAAGAUCUGCUGAUGAGGUAGAGCAUAUUCCAGCACCAUCAAGAGUAACAGUGAGGAAGAGGCCAACUGCUGCUGCAAUAGAAAUCAGGGAUACAGUGAUUAAUUCAAAUUCAAAUUCAAGGGGUAAUAUCCUGAAUUCAAGGAUGGGAAUGUCAGAUGAUGAUGAUGGCCUUGGAAGAAUGCGUAGGAUUGAUCGAGGCAAGGAUAUUGACCAUUCGAGUGGAGCUGAAGAUGACAUGUCUGAAUGAUUGGUCCUAAUGCAAAUGCUGCAACUAGAAAGUUUUCAAGGUUGAAAACAGUUGGUAUUGCAGGUGACUUGUAGAAUGUACAUGCCAACCAUCCGAAAUAUACAUGUUUUCAUGAUGUAGCUGGUUUUAGUAGAAACAGGUUUUUUUCAAUACCAUAAGCGGCAGAAAGAAUGAAGGUGUAAAGAAGUUCAUCAAGGCCUGAUGUUUUGAUGUACUGUAAACAUCUUAAGUUAAUCUAUAGAACAGUUAAAUAUUUCUUUUCGUCCUCAACUUUUGUUGUAUUUUUCACAUUUUUUUGUUUCAUAAGACGUG